CCUAACUGCAUGUAUCCACCACACAAACGUACGUUUUUAUUCUUUAGGGUAUGAUAAUAGUAGUUCUUUACAUGCAAAAUACUAGUAACAACAGAGUAGUUCUCUGUCAGAACUUGCAAGUUGAACUACUAAAACGGUGAUCAGCAUCACUUUGUAAUCUACUGGCACCACAAUAACUUGCUAUAUUUUAGAAUUCAGAUUGAAAUUUCCAUUUUCUUGAGAAGAAUCUUGCAUGUUGUCUAUGUUGGAAUUAUUUAGAAGUGAUUCAAUUUUUUUUUUAAAAAACGCAAUAUAUUGUGAAAAGAUGUUACCCAUUCUUUAAAGGGAAAAGGGUCAAAAAUGCCCCUCUACUUUGGGAAAAGGUCUAAAAAUAUCCUCCGUUACAAAUUUGGGUCACAAAUACCCCUCCCGUAAUUGAAGUUUUUAAAUAUACCUCUAUCUUAAUAGAAAUUUCCAAAUCCCCCAAAAUGACCCGAUUUUAUUUUUAAACCCGCUUCAUUUAAACCCUCAAAAUAGGUUUUUUAUUUAGUUGAGUUGGGUUUAAAUGGUGCGGGUUUAAAAAUGAAUUCGGGUUAUGUUGGGGAUUUCCGUUAAGAUAGGGUAUAUUUGAAAACAUUAAUGAUGAGAGAGAUAUUUUUGAUCCAAAUUUGUAAUGGAUGAUAUUUUUAGUCCUUUUCCUAAAGUAGAGGGGUAUUUUUGACCCUUUUCCCUUCUUUAAAUGAUACACUUAUUCAUUGUGAAAAUGUGUCAUACAAUCUUAAAGGGUAUAUCCAUUCCUGAAAAGGUGUGAUCACUUUCUAUAAAUACCUAUUCACUGCAGAAAAUCAAAAAUAUCAUAUCUAGAUCUUUAGGCUCUUUAUAAUUUCAUUCUCUUCAAGAGUCCGCUUUAUUUCUUAUUCUGAGUUUCUACAAAAGCAUUCGAGAGAUAAAAGGAUUCUCCGGGACUUCUAUUUGAGUGCACAUUAGAAGAUUUCUAAGUGGUUCAUUAUAUCUUGGGAGGAGACCGUCACUUUGUUAUUAGAUUCGGGGUAGCGACAAAAAUCUACUUUGAAUACAGAGUCAUGCAUAGCGUGCCUUGAUCCGGGUUUUUCAAUUUCAACUCUGUCUUAUCUUUAUUGUUAUAGUUGUUAUUUGUUCUUCUUAAUGUGAUCAUCUCUAAUAUUUUCCAAACACACUAUAUAAAAAGAAAAGAAAAGGAAAAGAAUGGACAAGUGAAAACAAUGUUUUAGAAAAAUGUGUUGUAAAUAAAAUUCUAAGUUAUGACUUCGCCGGAGAAUUAAAGUAAAUGGUAUGUAUUGAACGAAAAUAAUAACGAGACAAGAAUGUUUUGGUCACAAUAUGACCUCCUUAUCAUAUUGUGAAUACGAAGGCCGAGAAAAUCCUCCUAAAACAUUCUUGUCACUUUACUAUUUUCGUUCAAUAGUAUGUGUCAAUUGUCCUUCAUUGAUUAAAAGGAGAAAAAUUAAUGAGUUUAUAAGCUAAUUGGGUUCUCCUAUGUCCUAUAUAAUAGAUUACACUUUUGGGUCCGAAGAAUUAAAGUAAAUGGCAUGUAUUGAACGAAAAUAAUGAGACAAGAAUGUUUUGGUCACAAUAUGACCUCCUUAUCAUAUUGUGAAUACGAAGGCCGAGAAAAUCCUCCUAAAACAUUCUUGUCACUUUACUAUUUUCGUUCAAUAGUAUGUGUCAAUUGUCCUUCAUUGAUUAAAAGGAGAAAAAUUAAUGAGUUUAUAAGCUAAUCGGGUUCUCCUAUGUCCUAUCUAAUAGAUUACACUUUUGGGUUAGGUUUUCCUGUUUGAUCCGUAACAAUGGUAUCAAAGUAGGUUGAUCAAUGCUUGGGACCACGACACCCGGACCCAAGAGGGGUGCCAGCCGUGACCAACUACCUCGUUGAUCCUCAAGCGGGGCGAUUAUUGUGCGCCUCACUGAUUGAAAAGACAAAAAUCUCAAUGAAUCACGAGAUAAAUGGGCCCAAACAUUCAUGUUUGUAAUGGUUUAAGUACCCAUAUGAUGUACCUAAACACCCAAUUUGUUUGACGUGUAAAACUUGAUUAUUAGGAUAGGUACUCUAAUUGGACCAAAAAACAAUUCAAUGAGAAUCUAAAAGGAUAGGCAAAUAAUCUAUAUACAUAAUUGCAGGACAUAGGCCCGGUGACGUGGCACUCUCUAAAGCCAGCAAUCCUAUUUAUCUUUUAGUACAAUUUUUUGCCUUUUUCUCCCUCUUUUUAUAAAUUUUAUUUAUUAUUAUUAUUAUUAUCCUAAAGCCGAAAAGCCACUCUAUUAGUAACCUACUUAAUUGCACCUGUUCAGAUUCCCUUACGACUACGAGGAUAACUUCUGCUUUGUUUGUUUUUGUAGGCAGUGAAAGAUGAAAAAUCAAACCAGAACGAAAAACCCUUAUCAAUCUUUCCGCCAUUUUUGGUCUCAACUUCUUCAAAAGUCUGCCCAAAAAAGUGCAGACAUUGUUCAGCAGUAAAAAGACAAAUCCUGUAACGCUACGUACCAUCCAGUCCGUCCAGGAGAAAGAAUGGAUUUUGAAUGAUCAGAAACAGAAUCAACAGUAGCCACUUCUUGAGAGCGUGGCAGGUGUUUCCGUCAACAAAAGAAUUUAGGCUUCGUAGAGAACGCCCUUCUAUGUUCACCCUAAGUAGAACUGCAUUGAUGAGUUUAGAGACAAUUCUAAUUCAUAUUAAAUUAAAUAAGGAGAACUCCAAAUGUGUAAUCGAUAUCCACCGGUACUGCACAACAUGAACAUCGACGAGGAGGAGGAGCUUUUGGUGGUCGUAAAAGAGAUAAAGAUGCAUGUCACUCAAAAUUGAAUGCACCAUUCUCAACCAGCUUAGUUUGCAUUGGUAUGCUUCCUAUAUUUGGAAUACCCACAUUAUGUUUCAAUUAGAAAGAUUAGAAAAAUUACUUCUUUGAAUUUUUCAUGGAUGCAAACAAGAAAUUAAUGUCCCUUAAUUCGAUAGCCACGCAACACCAUAAACUGCAUUGUAAGGCUUGACCAAAAUUUCAAGAAAUAAAGAAAAAAAUGUACUCCUAAAUAGAGAGAAAAGGUAGAAAAACUAAAAUUAAUUUGAUUUAGUUGAUUAGGUAGAUGGAUCCGGUUAUGUAUAUAUAAAUUAUAUACACUACAUCAAUUCUUCUUAAG